rnacentral:rRNA from 1 species
GAUCAGUAGGGGUUCUGAGAGGAAGGUCCCCCACAUUGGAACUGAGACACGGUCCAAACUCCUACGGGAGGCAGCAGUGAGGAAUAUUGGUCAAUGGACGAGAGUCUGAACCAGCCAAGUAGCGUGCAGGAAGACGGCCCUAUGGGUUGUAAACUGCUUUUAUAAGGGAAUAAAGUGAGAGUCGUGACUCUUUUUGCAUGUACCUUAUGAAUAAGGACCGGCUAAUUCCGUGCCAGCAGCCGCGGUAAUACGGAAGGUCCGGGCGUUAUCCGGAUUUAUUGGGUUUAAAGGGAGCGUAGGCCGGAGAUUAAGCGUGUUGUGAAAUGUAGACGCUCAACGUCUGCACUGCAGCGCGAACUGGUUUCCUUGAGUACGCACAAAGUGGGCGGAAUUCGUGGUGUAGCGGUGAAAUGCUUAGAUAUCACGAAGAACUCCGAUUGCGAAGGCAGCUCACUGGAGCGCAACUGACGCUGAAGCUCGAAAGUGCGGGUAUCGAACAGGAUUAGAUACCCUGGUAGUCCGCACGGUAAACGAUGGAUGCCCGCUGUUGGUCUGAAUAGGUCAGCGGCCAAGCGAAAGCAUUAAGCAUCCCACCUGGGGAGUACGCCGGCAACGGUGAAACUCAAAGGAAUUGACGGGGGCCCGCACAAGCGGAGGAACAUGUGGUUUAAUUCGAUGAUACGCGAGGAACCUUACCCGGGCUUGAAUUGCAGAGGAAGGAUUUGGAGACAAUGACGCCCUUCGGGGCCUCUGUGAAGGUGCUGCAUGGUUGUCGUCAGCUCGUGCCGUGAGGUGUCGGCUUAAGUGCCAUAGCGAGCGCAACCCCUCUCCUUAGUUGCCAUCAGGUUAAGCUGGGCACUCUGGGGACACUGCCACCGUAAGGUGUGAGGAAGGUGGGGAUGACGUCAAAUCAGCACGGCCCUUACGUCCGGGGCUACACACGUGUUACAAUGGCAGGUACAGAGAGACGGUCCCUUGCAAAACGGAUCAAAUCCUUAAAGCCUGUCUCAGUUCGGACUGGGGUCUGCAACCCGACCCCACGAAGCUGGAUUCGCUAGUAAUCGCGCAUCAGCCAUGGCGCGGUGAAUACGUUCCCGGGCCUUGUACACACCGCCCGUCAAGCCAUGAAAGCCGGGGGCGCCUAAAGUCCGUGACCGUAAGGAGCGGCCUAGGGCGAAACUGGUAAUUGGGGCUAAGUCGAAACAAGGUA